UCCCAGACUCCUACGGGAGGCAGCAGUCGGGAAUAUUGCGCAGUGGAGGAAACUCUGACGCAGUGACGCCGCGUAUAGGAAGAAGGUUUUCGGAUUGUAAACUAUUGUCGUUAGGGAAGAUAAAAGACUGUACCUAAGGAGGAAGCCCCGGCUAACUAUGUGCCAGCAGCCGCGGUAAUACGUAGGGGGCAAGCGUUAUCCGGAUUCACUGGGUGUAAAGGGAGCGUAGACGGCCAUGCAAGCCUGGAGUGAAAGCCCGGGGCCCAACCCCGGGACUGCUCUGGGAACUGUGCGGCUGGAGUGCGGGAGGGGCAGGCGGAAUUCCUGGUGUAGCGGUGAAAUGCGUAGAUAUCAGGAGGAACACCGGCGGCGAAGGCGGCCUGCUGGACCGCGACUGACGUUGAGGCUCGAAAGCGUGGGGAGCAAACAGGAUUAGAUACCCGAGUUA
rnacentral:rRNA from 1 species